rnacentral:rRNA from 1 species
AGUGAACGCUGGCGGUAGGCCUAACACAUGCAAGUCGAACGGCAGCACAGUAGGAGCUUUCUCUUACGGGUGGCGAGUGGCUGACGGGUGAGGCAUACAUCGGAAUCUACUUUUUCGUGGGGGAAAACGAAGGGAAACAUACGCUAAUACCGCAUACGACCUACGGGUGAAAGCAGGGGAUCUUCGGACCUUGCGCGAUUGAAUGAGCCGAUGUCGGAUUAGCUAGUUGGCGGGGCAAAGGCCCACCAAGGCGACGAUCCGUAGCGGGUCUGAGAGGAUGAUCGGCCACACGGGACCUGGGACACGGCCAAGCCUCCAAGGGAAGGCAGCAGUGGGGAAUAUUGGAAAAGGGGGGAAACCCGAACCCAGCAAGACGGCGUGAGGAAGGAAGGCUUUGGGGUUGUAAAGUCUUUUAGUGGGGAAAGAAAGGCAGCAGGUUAAAACCCCGCUGUUCGGACGGUACCCAAAAAAUAAGCACCGGCAACCUUCGU